CGUAUAUUUAAGUUGUUGCAGUUAAAAAGCUCGUAGUUGGAUUUCGGGUGGGUUUCAGCGGUCCGCCUAUGGUGAGUACUGCUGUGGCCUAUCUUACUGUCGGGGACCUGCUUCUGGGCUUCAUUGUCCGGGACAGGGAUUCGGCAUGGUUACUUUGAGUAAAUUAGAGUGUAAAACGAUUGCUUUGUGCACUCAAAAGUCGUGGUCAAAACCAUGGCUAGUGCGGUUGAAAGCAACCGUGCGACACCAUCAAAUUGCCUGGAAACCCCGCACAACAAUGCCGGUGGUACCGCCUGCUGUGGGAAACCGCAGACUGGCACCUCAGGGAAACUUGAGGGCAUGGUAAAAAUCUACCGGACAGGGGCAAUGGGCAGCCAAGUCCUACAGACAGCCGUGAAGGCUGUCCACGGAUGCAGUUCACAGACUAAAUGGUGGUGGGCUGGUUGCAGCUGUGCAAUCGGCUUAAGAUAUAGUCGGCCCCCACCGAGAGGUGGACUGUCGGAGGAAAGGCUGGUACAACAGCCUGGAGAGCCGGCAGUGAGGGACUGUGUAAAAUACCACCCGGUGCGAGCUGGGUGGGGCAGGACUCCUUGCGAGCCCAGCCCAGUCCCUCGGAGAAAGCGUCAAAGCAGGCUUACGCCGUGAAUACUUUAGCAUGGAAUAACACUAUAGGACUCUGCCCUAUUGUGUGGCCUGUAGGAGUGAGUAAUGAUAC
rnacentral:rRNA from 1 species